AACGAACGCUGGCGGCAUGCCUAACACAUGCAAGUCGAACGAGACCUUCGGGUCUAGUGGCGCACGGGUGCGUAACACGUGGGAAUCUGCCCUUUGCUUCGGAAUAACAGUUAGAAAUGACUGCUAAUACCGGAUGAUGUCGAAAGACCAAAGAUUUAUCGGCAAAGGAUGAGCCCGCGUAGGAUUAGGUAGUUGGUGGGGUAAAGGCCUACCAAGCCGACGAUCCUUAGCUGGUCUGAGAGGAUGAUCAGCCACACUGGGACUGAGACACGGCCCAGACUCCUACGGGAGGCAGCAGUGGGGAAUAUUGGACAAUGGGCUAAAGCCUGAUCCAGCUAUGCCGCGUGAGUGAUGAAGGCCUUAGGGUUGUAAAGCUCUUUUACCAGGGAUGAUAAUGACAGUACCUGGAGAAUAAGCUCCGGCUAACUCCGUG
rnacentral:rRNA from 1 species